rnacentral:lncRNA from 1 species
CGCCCAGUGACUUCUGGAUACCACUGACUCUAGAUCCUGAAUUCCAGCAGAAUGGCUGACACCAACUGGUCUGAAGACCCUCACCAAGGAACUGACUCAGUGCAGGAAUGCAGUUUCUUCAUCUCCCUAUCCCUGACUUCACCCCUCACUUCUCAACCAAUCAGUGAUCACCACACUUUAGGCCAUCACCUGUGUCCAGACCCCUUAAA